rnacentral:rRNA from 1 species
UAGAUACCCUGGUAGUCCACGCCCUAAACGAUGCACACUAGUUGUUGCUAUGCUCGACAUAGCAGUAAUGCAGUUAACACAGUAAGUGUGCCGCCUGGGGAGUACGGUCGCAAGAUUAAAACUCAAAGGAAUAGACGGGGACCCGCACAAGCGGUGGAGCAUGUGGUUUAAUUCGACGAUACGCGAAGAACCUUACCUGGCCUUGACAUAGAUAGAACUUUCCAGAGACGGAUUGGUGCUAGUUUACUAGAGCUAUCAUACAGGUGCUGCACGGCUGUCGUCAGCUCGUGUCGUGAGAUGUUGGGUUAAGUCCCGCAACGAGCGCAACCCUCGUGUUUAGUUACUAACAGUUCGGCUGAGGACUCUAAACAGACUGCCUGGGUAACCAGGAGGAAGGUGAGGACGACGUCAAGUCAUCAUGGCCCUUACGGCCAGGGCUACACACGUGCUACAAUGGGGUAUACAAAGAGCAGCAAUACGGUGACGUGGAGCAAAUCUCAUAAAAUAUCUCCCAGUUCGGAUUGAAGUCUGCAACUCGACUUCAUGAAGUUGGAAUCGCUAGUAAUCGUAGAUCAGCAAUGCUACGGUGAAUACGUUCCCGGGUCUUGUACUCACCGCCCGUCACACCAUGGGAAUUGAAUUCAUUCGAAGCGGGGAUGCUAAAAUAGCUACCUUCCACAGUGGAUUUAGUAACUAGGGUGAAGUCGUAACAAGGUA